rnacentral:sRNA from 1 species
GUUCGACCCGAGCGAAGCGAGAGAACGUUGCGUCAGCAACGGCCCGCAGGGCGAGUCACGCAGUGGCGAGUCAUCCUCUAUCACCGACCA